rnacentral:tRNA from 1 species
UAUAGCUCAGUCAGUAGAGCAUAAGACUCUUAAUCUCAGCGUUGUGGGUUCAAGCCUCACCACAG